rnacentral:rRNA from 1 species
AGUCGAGCGCGCUCCUCUGGAGCGAGCGGCAAACGGGUGAGUAACGCGUGGGAAUCUACCCAUCUCUACGGAAUAACACAGAGAAAUUUGUGCUAAUACCGUAUACGUCCUAUUGGAGAAAGAUUUAUCGGAGAUGGAUGAGCCCGCGUUGGAUUAGCUAGUUGGUGAGGUAAUGGCUCACCAAGGCGACGAUCCAUAGCUGGUCUGAGAGGAUGAUCAGCCACACUGGGACUGAGACACGGCCCAG